rnacentral:rRNA from 1 species
UACGUAGGGGGCAAGCGUUGUCCGGAGUUACUGGGCGUAAAGCGCACGCAGGCGGUCUGUUAAGUUUGGAGUGACAGUUGGUGGCUUAACUGCCAAAGUGCUUCGAAAACUGAUCGACUUGAGGGCUUCAGAGGGACACGGAAUUCCGGGUGGAGUGGUGAAAUGCGUAGAGAUCCGGAGGAACACCGAAGGCGAAGGCAGUGUCCUGGGGAGUACCUGACGCUCAGGUGCGAAAGCGUGGGGAGCAAACAGG